rnacentral:rRNA from 1 species
AUGAACGCUAGCGGCAGGCUUAACACAUGCAAGUCGAGGGGCAGCGCGAUGUAGCAAUACAUUGGCGGCGACCGGCGCACGGGUGCGUAACACGUAUGGAACCUGCCCUUUACUGGGGGAUAACCCGGAGAAAUCCGGACUAAUACCCCAUAACAGACGAGGCGGCAUCGCCUUGUCUUGAAAGCUCCGGCGGUAAAGGAUGGCCAUGCGCCCGAUUAGCUAGUUGGUGAGGUAAUGGCUCACCAAGGCGACGAUCGGUAGGGGGCCUGAGGGGGUUAUCCCCCACACUGGUACUGAGACACGGACCAGACUCCUACGGGAGGCAGCAGUGAGGAAUAUUGCGCAAUGGAGGCAACUCUGACGCAGCCAUGCCGCGUGCAGGAAGAAGGCGCUACGCGUUGUAAACUGCUUUUAUCCGGGAAGAAACCCCAGGACGUGUCCUGGGUUGACGGUACCGGAGGAAUAAGCACCGGCUAACUUCGUGC